GCCCGGAUGGUGGAACGGCAGACACAAGGAGCUUAAACCUCCCAGGCCGCAAGGCCGUGCGGGUUCGAAUCCCGCUCCGGGCA
rfam:Actinospica robiniae DSM 44927 genomic scaffold ActroDRAFT_ARA.1, whole genome shotgun sequence.